rnacentral:rRNA from 1 species
CGGCGGACGGGUGAGUAACGCGUGGGUAACCUGCCUCAUACAGGGGGAUAACAGUUGGAAACGGCUGCUAAUACCGCAUAAGCGCACAGUACCGCAUGGUACGGUGUGAAAAACUCCGGUGGUAUGAGAUGGACCCGCGUCUGAUUAGGUAGUUGAUGGGGUAACGGCCUACCAAGCCGACGAUCAGUAGCCGACCUGAGAGGGUGACCGGCCACAUUGGGACUGAGACACGGCCCAA